UUAGGCUCUUUUCACCGAGAGAUCGAGUUUAAAAUAAAAUAGAUAGUGGCAUUAACAUUAAUGAAGAAGAUGAAUUCGUUUAUGCAUGAGAGUAAUUAGGUGAAAUCUAAACCCUAACAACAUAUUCAUCUCAUAUUAUCAACAUCAUCCAUCCACUUUUGUGUUUAACCUCAAUUGAUCACAUUGCAUUCAUGUUUAUUUUUCCACACUUUG
rnacentral:lncRNA from 1 species